GGACUGAGGACUGCCAGGCAAAACACUUGGCUUGGCUCCUCCACCUUCACAUGACAGACUGGACUAUCUGCAACAUUAAAUCCAACACCUGUCCAGUCAUUUGGACUAUUUAAACGACUGUCACAGUGGUGUUCAGUGAGCUGGAUUGACCCACAUCUCCCAAGUGUUUCUCCACACCAUCAAAGCUGUUCUGCUCGGUUCAAAGCUAACCAAGUACGAUGAAAGAGCCGCAACACAUGCUGGAUCAAUCCGUCACAUGUAUAACCAAACCAGAAAGAUGGAAGUGCUUUCGGAAGAUCCAGCGACACCUUCAGAAAAAACAGCCGCCCACUCGUGGCUGUGCAGCGCGCCUGUUUUCUACGUCAAGUUUCGAUGGAGACUUACUUCCUCUGCUUGAACCUCGUAACACGGUACAAUUGGUUUUUGAUUGGGGCCAAUGUCAACUGUGAUAGCAAGAGUAUUUCUCCUUGUUGGGUGAUUGAGUUUCGACGACGCAGAG